UUAAAAUCAAUGAAGGAAAAAGUAGUUAAAAUAUGCGGAUUAAGAGAGGAGAUCUAUUAGCUGAGAGGAUCUCUAUCAGGCGUUUUAAUGAAAGACGAUCUGGAGAUGCUUUGUUGAACAUAAGUAAGCAAAGCCGUUUACAAGCGUUAAUUGUUUAAGUGGGAUUAAUCAACUAAUUAAUUCAACUAGGGUGGCAACACGGGUAUACGCUCGUCCCUUAU
rnacentral:ncRNA from 1 species